AAACUUUCAACAACGGAUCUCUUGGUUCUGGCAUCGAUGAAGAACGCAGCGAAAUGCGAUAAGUAAUGUGAAUUGCAGAAUUCAGUGAAUCAUCGAAUCUUUGAACGCACAUUGCGCCCGCCAGUAUUCUGGCGGGCAUGCCUGUCCGAGCGACAUUU
rnacentral:rRNA from 1 species